rnacentral:rRNA from 1 species
GAUGAACGCUGACAGAAUGCUUAACACAUGCAAGUCAACUUGAACUUCGGUUUGGGUGGCGGACGGGUGAGUAACGCGUAAAGAACUUGCCUCACAGAUAGGGACAACAUUUGGAAACGAAUGCUAAUACCUGAUAUUAUGAUUUUAGGGCAUCCUAGAAUUAUGAAAGCUAUAUGCGCUGUGAGAGAGCUUUGCGCCCCAUUAGCUAGUUGGAGAGGUAACGGCUCACCAAGGCGAUGAUGGGUAGCCGGCCUGAGAGGGUGAUCGGCCACAAGGGGACUGAGACACGGCCCUUACUCCUACGGGAGGCAGCAGUGGGGAAUAUUGGACAAUGGACCAAGAGUCUGAUCCAGCAAUUCUGUGUGCACGAUGAAGUUUUUCGGAAUGUAAAGUGCUUUCAGUUGGGAAGAAAAAAAUGACGGUACCAACAGAAGAAGUGACGGCUAAAUACGUGCCAGCAGCCGCGGUAAUACGUAUGUCACAAGCGUUAUCCGGAUUUAUUGGGCGUAAAGCGCGUCUAGGUGGUUAUAUAAGUCUGAUGUGAAAAUGCAGGGCUCAACUCUGUAUUGCGUUGGAAACUGUGUAACUAGAGUACUGGGGAGGUAAGCGGAACUACAAGUGUAGAGGUGAAAUUCGUAGAUAUUUGUAGGAAUGCCGAUGGGGAAGCCAGCUUACUGGACAGAUACUGACGCUGAAGCGCGAAAGCGUGGGUAGCAAACAGG